AGACCCGAAACCCGGUGAUCUAGCCAUGGGCAGGUUGAAGGUUGGGUAACACUAACUGGAGGACCGAACCGACUAAUGUUGAAAAAUUAGCGGAUGACCUGUGGCUGGGGGUGAAAGGCCAAUCAAACCGGGAGAUAGCUGGUUCUCCCCGAAAGCUAUUUAGGUAGCGCCUCGUGAAUUCAUCUCCGGGGGUAGAGCACUGUUUCGGCUAGGGGGCCAUCCCGGCUUACCAACCCGAUGCAAACUGCGAAUACCGGAGAAUGUUAUCACGGGAGACACACGGCGGGUGCUAACGUCCGUCGUGAAGAGGGAAACAACCCAGACCGCCAGCUAAGGUCCCAAAGUCAUGGUUAAGUGGGAAACGAUGUGGGAAGGCCCAGACAGCCAGGAUGUUGGCUUAGAAGCAGCCAUCAUUUAAAGAAAGCGUAAUAGCUCACUGGUCGAGUCGGCCUGCGCGGAAGAUGUAACGGGGCUAAACCAUGCACCGAAGCUGCGGCAGCGAACGUAUCACCCAAGACAACUUUACGGAGUUGACGAUUGACGGAGCGAAGCGACGUCAAAGCGUUCAUUAAAGUCGAGUUGGCUUAGGGAUACGUUCGUUGGGUAGGGGAGCGUUCUGUAAGCCUGUGAAGGUGUGUCGUGAGGCAUGCUGGAGGUAUCAGAAGUGCGAAUGCUGACAUAAGUAA
rnacentral:rRNA from 1 species